AACGAAUGUUAAGCAUAAGAAACUUCGUGAUUAUAUUUUUUCGUUAUAACUACUUAAUGCCAAUCUUACCGAAUAUAAAAUCGUUUUAAUCUGGGAUUCGCUAUCGCUUGAUUUAAUAACGAUGAAACGCCGUGUUCUGUUUGGAAUUGAAUUUUCACUUUUUGAAUCGAAAUUCCUAUUCCAUCGUCGUUUCUUUGCUAUGUACAGUGUCUUUAGCUCCCAAUCGUGGCUCAUGAAAAUCCGCUGAAUACGAAGCGGAUAAACAAUUGCAAUACAGCUUUUCAUUAUAAGGCAGUGAAACUGUUAUCAUCAUCGGUAACAUUGCUACCGCACACCGACCGCUUUUAGAAAAAGUACCCUUUUGAGUCCAAAACGGAGCGGCUCUGUUUUGUUAACUUCUUGAUCAUGGCUGAGAUUAGUAUAGGAUGAAAAACCGCUAUCAUCCUUACUGUUAGUAAUACUACUAGAUAGUCUUAUGAAAGCCUUUUUCGACUAUUUACAAUCUACCGGAUUUUUACUAUAAUGGAAGCUUCGACAGUAGUCCAGUAGUUCGGAGUAGUGAAUGAAACUGUUUUGGAUGGUUUUCGUGUCAAUUAGUAGUAACAAGAACAUGUGGGUUCACUGCAGGCCGUAAAUCAAUACGAUGAAAAGGGAAAGUAAAUGACAUGGCAAGAUAAUGUCCAGCCGGCUAUCGUCCGCAGUUUUAAUUAACCUCCAAAGAAAAAUACUUCACAAGUCUGCCGAUAAGACCGCUUCCGUAGUUGUUUUGUAUUGAGCAUUUGCAGAAUGAAUUGUGCAAAAUAUUCGACUACAUCGGUUUCGGAGCAAGUGAUACGUGCUCAAAAAUCAAGAUCGCCUUCGCAGAGUUUAUUUUUAAAUAAUGUUUAACAAAUACUUAGCAUUUAUC